AUUGAACGCUGGCGGCAUGCUUUACACAUGCAAGUCGAACGGCAGCGCGGGCUUCGGCCUGGCGGCGAGUGGCGAACGGGUGAGUAAUGCAUCGGAACGUGCCCAGUAGUGGGGGAUAGCCCGGCGAAAGCCGGAUUAAUACCGCAUACGACCUGCGGGUGAAAGCGGGGGACCGAAAGGCCUCGCGCUAUUGGAGCGGCCGAUGUCGGAUUAGCUAGUUGGUGGGGUAAAGGCUUACCAAGGCGACGAUCCGUAGCUGGUCUGAGAGGACGACCAGCCACACUGGGACUGAGAGACGGCCAGACUCCUACGGGAGGCAGCAGUGGGGAAUGUUGGACAAUGGGGGCAACCCUGAUCCAGCCAUGCCGCGUGCGGGAAGAAGGCCUUCGGGUUGUAAACCGCUUUUGUUCGGGAAGAAAUCCUCUGGGCUAAUACCCCGGGGGGAUGACGGUACCGGAAGAAUAAGCACCGGCUAACUACGUG
rnacentral:rRNA from 1 species